UAAGAAAAAACCAUUGCAGCCCUUGUUACCAAUUUCUAAGUUUUAUAAAAAAAAAUAUUGAAAAGCAUGUCCCUCACUCUCUCACGCUCCAUUCCCGUUCCUUUUUCUUUACGGUUGAAAACCCUAGUGCGUUAAGUUUCCUCCACGCACGCCACGAACGCCCUGCACCUUUCAUCUCCUUCAUCAAGAGCCGCCAAGACAUCUUCCGUCCCUUGAUCCUAUUCGCGCUCCAUCCUUCUUCAGUUCCGUCGCCAACACAUUGAGGGGUGUUGCGGCUGUGGGCUCCAAACAUGAUAGAGACGAUGCGUUAAGCCAUGUCGUAGUGGGGGUAUGCCUUAGAUGUAGAAGUUUUGUGCCGUAAAGAAGAGGUGCACUGCUGAUUUCAUUGAGAUGAAGCCAAUAAACCGCAAAACCUCCUUCGCUUGUCGCAGCAACAGUAAAGAGAGCAAAGGGUCUUGAAGUAAAGUAUGUAAGUGAUGAACAAUGCGGAGAAGUUUUUCCCAUAGAUUCAGUGAGCAACCAAACGAAAAUGGAGUUCCUAUGGUUGGUGUGAAAUCAUGGCCCUUGGAAUGUCUAGCUGGCAGCUUGCAUGUUAUUGCUCCAAAACGUUUUGUCACGGGAAAGAAACCAAGUCAGCUUUAGAUGAUACAAAGAAAGAUGCAAAUGGCUUGAAUUAGAUUUGGGUCAUCCAAGGAUUUGAUAGCUACUAGCUCAUUCGAGUAUCUUGGAGAUGUCGGGAGCAAUCGUUUUAACUCCUCAUACUAGAAACUGAGUAGCAGACUGUUGUCAGAUUCAGAUCGUUCGGCUUAUUUCGUUUAUAGGCCUCAUUGGAAGGUUGUCAUUUAAUUGUGUCUGUUGUCGGUCUUUGUCAUUCUGCAGCUAUAGGGGAGUCUUUGAGGGGAUUCAGUCUAACUUGUUAUUUAUUGUUUAAAUUUAAGAUUUAGCACAUUAGUGCUGGAUUUGAAAUUUAUGUAUUCUUGGAAUUUUAGUUAUGAUAAAUCUCAAUUGUUAGAUUUUAUUAUUUUGGAGAUAUUGAUAUUACAGGAAAGAUUCUUUUGGAUUUAUAUAAAUUACAGAAAACAUGUAUAAUUUUGGAAAAUUGUUUCGGGAAGUGGUUUGGGUUAAAUAGGCUUGCCAGGCUAAGGUGAUAGUCUGUGCGCCGGUUACGACUUAAGAUUUUGGGUCGUGACAAAGUUGGUAUCAGAGCUUUGGCUGUAGGUCCUAUUAGCUGCAGACAUGAGGUAGUGAUAGAAUCUUUCUAGUAAAUUGUGAACCGCGGCACAACUUACUUCAAAGAUGCUAUGAACGCCCCAUGAGAGUCCUAAAGUUGUUUCCAAAGUGUGAUUUGAGUUUGUUCCUCAUUCACUGAAUUCUGAGUCAUGUGUUAUGUUUGAUGAAUAUUCUUUCUCAGUGAGGAUGCCACCUAAUUUAGGAUUUUUAUUUGAAGACGAUUAGCUUGCUAGAACCCUCUGUAAGACAAUUUAUGGUCGGCAGUGUUCGACAGUGUAGUGCAUGGCAAAGACCAUCGCAUAAAGACGUUGGUUGUUUGUUGAUGUAGGAAUUGUUAAGGUGCUUAUAUCGAGACAAUGAAAUUCAUGAAUGAUAAAGCUUGCAACUGGUUUGAAGGGAUUACAACAUGAUGUGAAGCGAUGUAUUGGAGUUGUUAUUGAGCAGCGACAAGAGAACCAACUCGAGAUAAUUUAGGAGUGUUGACCAAGGGUUAACAAAAGGAGCAACAACGAGUAGAUGUCAUUGGAGAGAUUGCUGUCAUAUUGAUUGUUCACAUUAAGCUUAAUUCUCACGUUUUUCUAGUACUAGUGCAAGCGUGGAUCAUAGAGGUUUAUUGAUGCUGUUGAGAGUCUGUGGAGAGCACUUGGAUGCUCACACAUGCAAUAGAGUUAACAUCAUUCGAGUUGAAGGUUGCAGAAUAUGAUUGCUUUGAUGACUUUGUGAGUACGAGAGCGGUAAAGGAUUUGGUAGUCGAGGUCAGAAGUCAAGCUUGAGUCAUUGUUGUUACUCGUCAGGAUACUCUAGAAACCAAUGGAGCGGUCACGAGAUUAGUUCGAUAUGUCCUUGAGAUAUUCAUGUUUGUUUGAUCCUAAAGCUAUGCUCUCUUUGGUAUAAUUGUUGUUCACUUCUUAACUUAAUACAUUAUAUCCUUUCUGAACAUGACGUUGAUUGUUGCUACACCUCUUAGAGAGUUUUUGAUAGAUGAUUAUGUUCAUUGUUAACUUGAGGCAUCCAUUAGGGAUUGAGAAUUGUUGGAAGGAAUCAUAACUUUAAACAUUGUUGACUUUGAUGUGAUCUCUAGGCAUCAUGAUGAUUUGGACUGGCAUAGCAAAGUAAUAAGAUAUGAAUUAUCUAGAGAGUUUCUUUCUUAUUCAGGGAGAGUGAAGUUGGGAACCAUGUAAUCUAAUUUUAGUGUCGAAGUUAGAAGCUUACUAAUGAAGGGUUGUCAUGGAUGCUUGACUUUGGGUAAAAGGAUACUCAAGCAGUUGAAAUAAAAACAGAAGAGGUUCUCGUAGUGUGUGAAAUUCUUAAUGUAUUUUGGGAGAAUUUCCUGAGGUACCAUAAAGUUUUCCAUAUAUUUGGUUCUUGACACUGGCUUUGUUUGUGAAGAAGAAAGAUCUACUAUGUUGUUAUGUGAUGACUACAUGCAAUUGGAUUAUGUGACAAUACCUAACAAAUAUCUUUUACCUCAUUUAGAUGAAUUGUUUGAUUGGUGAUAAAGAGCGCAAUAUUUUGAAAGAAAUAAAAAGAAAGGGACUUGGUGAUGUUUAAAGUGACUAUGUUUCACAGUGUCCAAUAGACUUUGAUGAUGUUUUACAAUUUUAAUAUUGGUUGUGUGUGCUUAAUAGGAACCCUGUUUUACAGUUUCACAGUUCCUAUGUUUCAUAGGAACUCUGUUCUGUUCAAAGGUGGGGGGGUUGGAAUAUCCAUUGAUCAUAUCAAGUUUAGAUCAUGGUUGUGGCUUAAGGCCAGGAAUAAAUGGUUUAGCGCUUCAUUUAUGGAAUGGAUAAUGAACUCUCUUUGUUAUCUGGAAACUACAUAAAUUCAGCCAAGAUCUCUGAUCGUUUGGUCUCUUGUCGUGUUGCUGUGAAACUGGUUUAGUGUUGCUGUCGGUUUAAAUUUGAUUGCGCUGGUAGAGUGAUAUGGGAUUAUAGUGAUCCAAUUCAAGGUCCAUUUCUGUUGGAGAAACGUGGCUUCCAGAAAUUAGUUAGGGACGCUAAUCUUCCUUGGUUCUUAAGAAAGACAUAGUCGAUUUUGUUUCUAAAUGUUUUGUAUGACAUGGAUUGAAGGAUAAGCACUAAGAACUAGAAGAGCUAGGUCAAUUAUCGAGAUAUCACUAUGGAAGUUGGAAAGUAUUGUUGUGAAUUUGGUGACAAGUUUUCUUAGGAUCAAAGGUUAUGAUUACGUUUAGGUAAUCAUGGAUUAGUUGAUUAAGUUUGCAUACUUCUUAUAAGUGGACACUACUUACAUUGCAACUCAAUAGGCUACGUGUUGUUUGGAUGAGAUUAUUUCUGGCAUGGUGUACCCUUAGUUAUAAGUUCAUAUUGAGGAGCUAUAUUCACUUUUUAGUUUUUCAAAUCGUUUCAAACUGCUUCGGGAACUCACUUUACAAUGAGGAUAGGUUUCCAUUCCCAAACAGGUGGCCAUUCUUAGAGACUAUUCAAAUCUUAUAGGAUAUGUUUCGUGUUUGUGUUUUAGACCUUACAGAUAGUUGUAAUGAUUAUUUAACCCGGAUCAAGCUUGAUUAUAAUAACAAUUGUCAGUCUUGUAUUCAGAUAGCCAUUUGAACCUUUGUAAGGUAGGGGAUGCAGUAAUCGAUAGAUUGGUUUAAAUAUGAAGAAACUAAACUUGUAUGUCCAUACCCUAUCCAAGAUGCAAUGGAUAAGGUUAAACUAGUUUAAAUCAUUUGGGUACAACUCUAGGCAAGCAAAAGUUUUAGGCAGAUAGGAGGUGACCGUGUGUUUUAAGUGUUUCUCAGAUAAAAGUAGUGGUGCGGUUUGGUAGAGGGAAAAUGAGUCUAUGAUUGAUUGGGUCGUUUGAGAUAUGGGAGUAGUUGGCCCUAUGGCUUAUCGAUUGACACUUCUACCAAAUCUUUAUACCAAAUCUUUAUACAGUUCAUAAACUUUUAUGUUUAUAUGCUUCAGAAAUACCUCUAAGAUCCUUCUCUUGUUAUUUGUAAUGAGGAUGUAUUGUUAGAUGAACCUUUACCUUAGAUGGAGUUUAUGGUAGGAAUAGUGGAUAGAAAGGGUGUGAUGGCUACAUUUUAAGGACAUUGGUUUAGUAAAAGUUCUUUGGCGAGGACCAUCAAGUGAAGAGACGACUUGGGAAAUUGAGAAUAUCAUGCGUGAUAAGUACCCCCAAUUGUUUGAGUCUCAAGGUUAGUAUGACUUUAAAAUUCGAGGACGAAUUUUCUAUAAGGGGGGAAGAUUGAAACGACUCGUUUUAGUGAUAUUGUGGGUUUAAGUUUUAUGGUUAAUUAUUAAUAUCAUUAUUAGAUAUAAGAAAAUAAGUUAAAAAAAAACUAACUAAGAAAAAACCACUGCAGCCCUUGUUACCAAUUUCUAAGUUUUAUAAAAAAAAAAUAUUGAAAAGCAUGUCCCUCACUCUCUCACGCUCCAUUCCCGUUCCUUUUUCUUUACGGUUGAAAACCCUAGUGCGUUAAGUUUCCUCCACGCACGCCACGAAGGCCCUGCACCUUUCAUCUCCUUCAUCAAGAGCCGCCAAGACAUCUUCCGUCCCUUGAUCCUAUUCGCGCUCCAUCCUUCUUCAGUUCCGUCGCCAACACAUUGAGGGGUGUUGCGGCUGUGGGCUCCAAACAUGAUAGAGACGAUGCGUUGAGCCAUGUCGUAGUGGGGGUAUGCCUUAGAUGUAGAAGUUUUGUGCCGUAAAGAAGAGGUGCACUGCUGAUUUCAUUGAGAUGAAGCCAAUAAACCGCAAAACCUCCUUCGCUUGUCGCAGCAACAGUAAAGAGAGCAAAGGGUCUUGAAGUAAAGUAUGUAAGUGAUGAACAAUGCGGAGAAGGUAAUUGUUUGUCAUAAGAUAAGCGGAAGAUUAUGAUUUGCCAUUAUGUCAUUCCUAAGUCUGCAUAAAUCUGAGUUUAAAUCUCUUCUGUUGCUUAGUUUUUCCCAUCGAUUCAGUGAGCAACCAAACGAAAAUGGAGUUCCUAUGGUUGUUGUGAAAUCAUGGCCCUUGGAAUGUCUAGCUGGCAGCUUGCAUGUUAUUGCUCCAAAACGUUUUGUCACGGGAAAGAAACCAAGUCAGCUUUAGAUGAUACAAAGAAAGAUGCAAAUGGCUUGAAUUAGAUUUGGGUCAUCCAAGGAUUUGAUAGCUACUAGCUCAUUCGAGUAUCUUGGAGAUGUCGGGAGCAAUCGUUUUAACUCCUCAUACUAGAAACUGAGUAGCAGACUGUUGUCAGAUUCAGAUCGUUCGGCUUAUUUCGUUUAUAGGCCUCAUUGGAAGGUUGUCAUUUAAUUGUGUCUGUUGUCGGUCUUUGUCAUUCUGCAGCUAUAGGGGAGUCUUUGAGGGGAUUCAGUCUAACUUGUUAUUUAUUGUUUAAAUUUAAGAUUUAGCACAUUAGUGCUGGAUUUGAAAUUUAUGUAUUCUUGGAAUUUUAGUUAUGAUAAAUCUCAAUUGUUAGAUUUUAUUAUUUUGGAGAUAUUGAUAUUACAGGAAAGAUUCUUUUGGAUUUAUAUAAAUUACAGAAAACAUGUAUAAUUUUGGAAAAUUGUUUCGGGAAGUGGUUUGGGUUAAAUAGGCUUGCCAGGCUAAGGUGAUAGUCUGUGCGCCGGUUACGACUUAAGAUUUUGGGUCGUGACAGUUAGUAUGAUUCAAGAUUUGCUUUUAUACGCCUUACAGACCAUAGACUUUCAAUUCUGGGAUCUAGUAGUCUUUUAAAGGACUUGGUACCGCUUCAGGUUCUGGGGAUGGAAUAUUCCAAUCCGGAUAUAAACGUACUAACCCUUCCGAGUUCUGAUCAGCAUAGAUGUAGAUAAAACCCAAGGUUAGUAGUAUAUAAGAUGUAAAGAUGAUCACCCUGAAUGCUUCCCAGAAUGUUGAAGUACAGAAAACUGCAUUGGGGUUUUAGGAGAAUUUGAGAACAUAGUUGAUCACAGCUGCAAUAAGUUUUGGGUAAAUAGCCAAGUUCGUCCCUGAAAGUGUCCACCGCCUUCAACUUCGUCCCUAAACUUCUAAAAUGACGCCCGUGGUCCCUGGAAGUGGCAAAUCUCCCUCAUUGAUGGUCCUUCGUUAAAAAAAAGUAACUUCCGUUAACGGAAGUGUGACAUGGAUUUUCUUUUUUAAUAAAUCCAUAGCUGAUGUGGAAUGUUAACGUUGUGGAUGUUUGGGAAGGGUUCAAUUUAGUCCUUCCAGCCCUUUAUAUGAUGAUGAACCCUAAAAUCUCAAAUUCCCCUAAUUCGCAUAACCCUAACCUUCCAAGCUUCCUUCGUCAUUUCCUCUGAAUUCUCCUUCCCUCUCUGUCGCAAUUGAACCCACAAUGAGUGGGAGCUCCAAGUCGCGGAUUCAACCGAACAAUUGCAGGAAUUACAGUGCUUCUUCAAGCUCUCGUGUGCAUGCUGUUGUUCCCCACUGCAAAUGUGGUCAAGAGGCUGUGGUUAGGGUCUCGAGGACUGAUUUGAACCCAGGAAAAGCUUUCUAUAGUUGCUAUUUACCUAAGGGUCAUGUGUCCAAUUGUAAUUUUUUUCGUUGGGUUGAAGAAGAAGGUGAAGUGGUUUCAAAUGGGCAGAACCCUAACAACAAUGAUGAAGAAGUGAGGCUGUUGAAGGAAAUUUUGAUGCAGAAUGAGACCUUGUUGCAGGAGGUAGUGAUGAUGAAGGAGAUUAUGCAGAAGAAGAAUGAGUUUUUGGUUGAAGAGAUUAGGAUCAUGAAGGGAAUUAUGCUGAAGAACAAUGACACUCAUAUGCAACAAAUUCACUUCAUGAAAUCAUGUGUGAUAUUCAUGGGAUUUGCUGUGUUGUUUAUGGUGUUUUUGAAACUGUUUGUGUAGAAUGAGUGAACCUAGGGGAGAGGGGGGGAGGGAAGCAGUUUGUA